rnacentral:rRNA from 1 species
AGAGUUUGAUCAUGGCUCAGAACGAACGCUGGCGGCGUGGAUAAGACAUGCAAGUCGGACGAGAUUUUUCGUUGUAGCAAUACGAUGGAAAGUCUAGUGGCGAACGGGUGCUUAACACGUGGGCAACCUGCCGAGAAGUGGGGGAUAGCUCGCCGAAAGGCGAAUUAAUACCGCAUGUGAUUAGAGUGGACAUCCAUUCGAAAUUAAAGUCGGGGCAACCUGACGCUUCUUGUGGGGCCCGCGGCCUAUCAGCUAGUUGGUGAGGUAAUGGCUCACCAAGGCUUUGACGGGUAGCUGGUCUGAGAGGACGACCAGCCACACUGGGACUGAGACACGGCCCAGACACCUACGGGUGGCAGCAGUCGAGAAUUUUUCUCAAUGGGGGAAACCCUGAAGGAGCGACGCCGCGUGGAGGAUGAAGGUCUUCGGAUUGUAAACUCCUGUCAUUGGGGAACAAUGCGUGAUGGUUAACUGCCGUCGCGUUGAUAGUACCCGAAGAGGAAGAGACGGCUAACUCUGUGCCAGCAGCCGCGGUAAUACAGAGGUCUCAAGCGUUGUUCGGAUUCAUUGGGCGUAAAGGGUGCGUAGGCGGCGCGGUAAGUCGGGUGUGAAAUCUCGGAGCUUAACUCCGAAACUGCAUUCGAUACUGCCGUGCUUGAGGACUGGAGAGGAGACUGGAAUUUACGGUGUAGCGGUGAAAUGCGUAGAUAUCGUAAGGAAGACCAGUGGCGAAGGCGGGUCUCUGGACAGUUCCUGACCUGAAGCACGAAGGUCAGGGGAGCAAACGGGAUUAGAUACCCUAGUAGUCC